rnacentral:rRNA from 1 species
CAGCCGCCGCGGGAAAACGUAGGUGGCAAGCGUUGUCCGGAUUUAUUGGGCGUAAAGCGAGCGCAGGCGGUUUCUUAAGUCUGAUGUGAAAGCCCCCGGCUCAACCGGGGAGGGUCAUUGGAAACUGGGAGACUUGAGUGCAGAAGAGGAGAGUGGAAUUCCAUGUGUAGCGGUGAAAUGCGUAGAUAUAUGGAGGAACACCAGUGGCGAAGGCGGCUCUCUGGUCUGUAACUGACGCUGAGGCUCGAAAGCGUGGGGAGCAAACAGGAUUAGAUACCCCUGUAGUCCCUGUCUCUUAUAA